UUUUUGUUUCCUUUUUGCUUCUGUCCUUUCACCUCUAUUAAAAUCAAACACUUGGAACAGGGAGGAGUUCAGUGCUGGAGGUAAAUGCGAAUGUCUUUUCUCUGAAAUGCUUGGAAAUUACCUUUGACGUUAACAGAGGCUAGCACAGUGACUACGCAUUUUAUUUCUAUUUUAAAAGAAACGCAGCUCAUGGUAUAAAGCAUUCUUUCAGCCCCAAAGAGUAAAAAUGAAUGCACGAAACCCCCCCUCCCCCCACGCUUAGCCCCUCUGAGAACCUCUGCUGAGUAUCUUGUCUGUCUCUCUUUUUUUUUUUUUUUUUUUUUUUUUGAGAGAAGAGUUUCACUCUUGUUGCCCAGGCUGGAGUGCAAUGCAGGAUCUCGGCUCACCGCAACCUCCUUCUCCCAGGUUCAAGCAAUUCUCCUUGCCUCAGCCUCCCGAGUAGCUGGGAUUACAGGUGUGCACCACCACACCCACCUAAUUUUGUAUUUUUUAAGUAGAGACGGGGUUUCUCCAUGUUGGUCAGGCUGGCCUUGUACUCCCGACCUCAGGUGAUCCGCCUGCCUCUGUCUCCCAAAGUGCUGGGAUAACAGGCGUGAGCCACGUGCCUGGCCUUGUCUGUGUCUCUUUUUGCGAAGAUGAAGACAUUCUUUGCACACUGAGCUGCACCCUGUGGGUCACAGUUUUGGAAUUUUCUACUAAGUUGUUAUAUCUGGUUUCUGAUACAGUCUGGAUGUGCGUCCCCUCCAAAUCUCAUGUUGAAAUGUCAUUCGCAGUGUUGGGGGUGGAACCAGGUGGGAGGGUUUGGGUCAGCAGGGCAGAUCCUCCUGAAUGGCGCGGUGCUGUCCUCGAGGCACUGAGUUCUCGCAAGAUCCGUUUGUUUAAAAGCGUGUGGCACCUCUCUACCCUCCUGCUUCCCUGUCGCCUUCCACCGUGAUUGGACACUUCUGGAGGCUCCCCCAGAAGCCGAGCAGAUGCGAGCACCAGGCUUCCCGUAGAGCCCACAGAACCGGGAGCCCAUCGAACCUCUUUUCUUUAUAAAUUGCCCAGCCUCGGGGCUCUCUUAACAGCAGCAGAAGAGCAGCCUAACACAGCCUCCCAUCAGCACCAAAGAAAACCAGAAGAAGGACUAGGGAGCCACGGAGUGUCGGUUCAAGUCCUGAUUCAAUGACUGAAAAGCUCAAAUCCUGGGAAGAAAACAACUUCAAGUCACCCAUCCCUUUUGUCGUCGUCCAUAAUAUCAGGAUCAACGCUUGAAUUCUACAGGCCUCACAAGUCUGUGUUUAACUCACUGCGACAAGUGAACUCUUUGUUAACCACAGGAAAUGUUAAUGAUUAACAGGCACCGUGUUUACCAACUGAGGGACUAAAUAAACAGGCACCGUAUUUACCAACCGAGGGACUAAAUAAACAGGCACCGUAUUUACCAACUGAGGGACUAAAGAAACAAUCCAGACAGGAGGCCAUCCAUCGAGGGUUGCAGAGUCACCAAAAAACAUCUGCCUGAUUGACUCAAUGUUGCUUUUUCUGUUUCCCUCCCUCCCUCCCUCGUUCCCUCCCUCCCUCCCUCCUUCCCUCCCUCCUUUCCUUGCUCCCUGACAGAGUCUUGCUUUGUUGCCCAGGCUGGAGGGCAAUAGUGCAAUCUUGGCUCACUACAACCUCUGCCUCCUGGAUUCAAGUGAUUCUCCCACCUCAGCCUCCCAAGUAGCUGGGAUUACAGGCACCCACCACCACGUCCAGCUAAUUUUGUAUUUUUUAGUACAGAUGGUUUCACUAUAUGUGGGUUAGCCUGGUCUCGAACUCCUGACCACAGGUGAUCCACCCACCUCAGUCUCCUAAAAUGCUAGAUUACAGGCAUGAGCCACCACACCCAACUAAAUGUGGCUUUUCCUAUUUUGCUUGUGUUGCUUGUAAAUGUUCAAGAAAAGCCAUCAGGAUCAUGUAAAAACGGACUCAUCUAAAUUAGCAGAAACAUGAUUUGCACAGUCAGAUUUACACUUUUCCAAGUGUGUUGACGUUUUUUAAAAAGCGUGUGGUCACCGGAUCUUCACCAUGGUUUCAUUUUCCCCGUUGUCGACGGGGCAGCCACAGAGGGGUUAAGUAACCUCAAGUUCACUCAGCAAAUUAGAAAACAAAACUGGGACUGGCACCCAGGGUCCUGGCUGGGCCGCUCUGGCUGCCUGCUACUCGCCCAUCCGGGAUGAGUUACCUUCCUGCACACCUGCCGAAGAGGACCAGGCACUCCGUGAGGGUUCCUUAAUAACACAGGUUACAAAGCAGCAGCUGCACGCAACAGGAACUGAUCGCGGCUGCUUUCAGCGGGAAAGGACAUUUUUCCUAAAGGAUUUUGGGAAGCUCCCGGGAUCCCCAGGAGGGCUUGGAGCUGUGCAGCAACAAUUGCCCAAAUCCCGUGCAGAGCUCAGCUGUGCAGAUGCCGGUGCUGCCGUCUCUGAAUCCCAGAUGCACACCAGCUCCCCUGCACUCCUCACUCUGGACCUAGGCCCCCUCCUCGAGGCUCCAUAGCCACCUAUGCAGGCAUCAGGCUGCUCCUCCAUGUCACUGGCUACAGGUUAAAAAUCUAGACAGAGGGCCGGGCGUGGUGGCUCACGCCUGUAAUCCAAGCACUUUGGAGGCCAAGGCUGGUGGAUCACCUGUGAUGGGGAGUCCAAGAUCAGCCUGACCAACAUGGGGAAACCCCGUCUUUAAAAAAAAAAAAUCUAGACAGAGCCAGACCAUGCGCCAACGGUCUAGCUACAAGGCAGGCCCGACCAAGGGAGGCUGUGAGUGUCCUGAGGCUGCUGCACAAAGCCCCACAGACCGGGAACCUUAAGCAACAAAAACGGGUUCUCUCGCAGCUCUGCAGGCCAGAAGUCUGAAAUCAAGGCGUGAACAAGCAGGCCUGGCUCCUUCUGGAGGCUGUGAGGGGCGCUGGUUCCAUGUCUCUCUCUCAGACCCACGUGGCUGCCAGCAAUCUUUGCCACUCCUGAGCUCCGUACACUGCAUCGCUCUAAUCUCUGCCUGUGUCGUCACGUGAUGGCAUUCUCCCGUGUCUCCGUGUCACCAAGCUCUCUCUGCCAGGUCUUAUAAAGAUGCCUCUCUUUGAAUUUUGAGACCACCUAAAUCUAGGGUGGGCCCAUCUCAAGAUCCCUGAAGGAUUAUAUCUGUGCAGACCUUUUUCUAAGUCAGGGCCCAUUCAUUCACAAGUCCAGGGAGUAGGCUGUGACCAGAUCUUUCUAGGGGGACACAAUUCAACCCACCGCAGCAAGCAUCUGCCCUUCCAUCGUCUGCACUGGGAGGCUGGCUCAGCUCUCCACCAAGCCCAUGUCACAGGGGAUUCUCCAGACUUGGGUAGGGUUUGAGCCAAAGAGGGCAAAAAAGCCUUAGUGCGGAGUCGUCACCCACCUUUACAGAUGCAGAAAGCUGCACAGUCACCACAGGCCAGCAUGCAGAUGCCCGAGGGCAGCAGGUGCCUCUCCCCUUUCCUUUUCUCUCCAGCGCCUGGGCUUUUCCUCAGCGUUCCCCCCAAUCUCCUGUGCCCCGCCCAGAAGCUAGUGCCAGCUCCCACCAUGCGCUUUUCCCGGAAAGUGCAAACAGGCAAGUUGAAAGGCCCAUGCGGUAACUCUUAAAACUCUUAAAGAGAAUGAUGCUGCCUCCCAACAUGAUAUUUAGUAACCUUGCGUGGCUUCGAGUAACUGCCCCUGCAGAAUAACCACCAACCCAAAAGAAAACUGUUCCUAUUUUGCCUCCAAGUGGCAGGUGACUGAAGGCCCAGAGGAGCUUCCCCUCUAGCCUGUUCUAGCUGCAAAAUUCUCCAAAAUUGCUAACGUCUCAGAAGGAAGGCAUCUUCCCACAGGGCCCUCAGUAAAUGCACACAGACAGCCUAGAAGAGGACCCCACUCUUCACCCCCCGCGCUCAGGCUCACUGCACAGACCAGAAUUACUGGUGCUUCUGCAGGUAAACGCAGGCGUUACUAGUCGUACUGAUUUCUAGCACCGGAGGCCUAGGACUGCAGACAUGGGAUUGAAGCUCACCUCUCCAAGGAGUAGGGAAGGAGAACAGUCUAGGGGUUGUGCAGGACAGGGAAGGGCCUGGGCAAGGUUGGGGGAGCCUCGCUGCAGUCCCCCUGACUGGCCUCCUCGCCCCACGUGCAGCUCAUACCCCGACUCCAGGGGGCAGCUGUGCCAGGCUUUGGGUUCAUCCUCCCGGGCACUUCUGGCUGACAGCCCCCCACUCUCCAGCAGGUCUGCUUUAGCAGGAGGUGGCCAGGACACUGCACGUGUGCUGAACGCAGGGAGUUUGAGUUCCAGAGAGAUUUCGAGGGCAGCAGAACCUUCACCCAAAGAUGCGCAUACCCCGACAUUCGAGGAAGCUUGGAGGGCGGAAAGGGAAAGUCCUUUUGAGGAGAGGGCCUGCACGUGAGCCUCUCACACAGGCCACUGGGGAAGCACAUGGCCAGCUUCUCAGAAGGUCAGUCCCAACCCUGCAUGGCUGCCAGAAGCUAGCCAGAUGGGGAAGGCGGCCAGGAGCAGGGCCAGGGCUAGAGGCAGAUGCUCCCAUCUACAUAUGUACGUGCACGUGUAAUCACACAGAGAAAGGUGCACAUGUACUCACAUAUACACAUGUGAAAUCACACAGACAUGUCAGGCUGUCACUGCACACAUGUGCAAACACCCAGGCACAUGCAGAUACAUUCAUACAUAUGAUCACAUACACACACAUGCACACAGCUUCUGCUAUACAUGAGCUGCUGUGAGCUGUUUUUGUUUGUUUGUUUAUUUUUUGAGAAGGAGUUUCACUCUUUCACCCAGGCUGAGUGAAGUGGCGCUAUUUUGGCUCACUAUACCCUCCACCCCAGGGUUCAAGCAAUUCUCCUGCCUCAGGCUCCUGAGUAGCUGAGAUUAUAGGUGCCCGCCACCAUAAAAAUACUAAUUUUUGUAUUUUUAGCAGAGACGGGGUUUUGCCAUGUUGGCCAGGCUGGUCUUGAACUCCUGACCUCAAGAGAUCUACCCACCUCAGCCUCCCAAAGUGUUAGGAUUAUAGGCAGGAGCCACCAUGCCUGGCCAAACUGUUUUCUGCUUCUUGAGUUAGGGGACUCAUCCACUAGAACUGGCCACCUUAAAGCCAUAUUGCGUUGUGGCGGACUUGUCUCAAAUGGCAUUUCCCGCUUCUUCUUAAAUGUAUAAUUCCUCUGAAUCGAAUAUAAAUGUCUUCAUUUCUCUUCAUUGACUUUCAAAGCUCUUCUUCCUUUUGAUAUAAAAAAUUUAGCCUUGUUCCAGCAAUCUGGGAUUUCCCUUAGGUUAAAACUAUUUCGUAAACAGAACACCCAGGCCCCUCCCUUCACGUCCUGACUGGAGGUGAACCAUUAAAAAGAGAUUUUAAAGCCAGGCCCUUUACUCCCUUCCUUCCUGGUUUGUGGCCAGGACACAGGGCAGCUCUGCUCCAUCCACCCUUUGUCCCAGAGCUCUGGGCUUGGAGCAGAACCUAAGCUGGGCCAGGACAGGAGCUGACAGCCUGGGACAAAGUUUAACCCGGAGGGAAGGAUGGGGGCAUCCAAACAGCCCGGAAGCCUGGAUGCUAGAAGCAAGCCUUGCUGUUCACUGUCACUCAGGAAGUGUGCGCUCCACGGGCUCUUUAGGGAGGAAGUGUUGAAACACAGCUCUAUUCAUACAUGUCUUUAAACAACUUUCACUAGCUCUGCAGCCAAAGGGCCUGCCAGAUUCUCGGCCUCUUGCCCAGCGCUUUGAGGCUGGGGAAGGAGCACAGCACAGGACCUGCUGAGCGUGGCCCAGCUCUCCCAACCCACCAGCCCGCUUCCCCCAAAGCCGGCAUCUCUCAGAAAAUCCCUCUUAGAGCUUUUCCUGCAGGUGGCCUGGGACUUGUGUAAGCUCACAAAAAUCUCUUUUAAAGUCUUUUUUUUUUUUUUUUUUUUUUUUUUUCUGAGACGGAGUCUCGCUCUGUCAACGAGGCUGGAGGGCAGUGACGUGAUCUCAGCUCACUGCAAUCUCCGCCUACCAGGUUCAAGUGAUUCUCCUGCCUCAGCCCCCCCGUAGCUGAGAUUACGGCAGCCUGCAAACAUGCCUAGCUAAUUUUUGUAUUUUUAGUAGAGACGGGGUUUUGUCAUGUUGGUUGGACAAGCUGGUCUCAAACUCCUGACCUUAGGUGAUCCACCCUCCUUGGCCUCCCAAAGUGCUGGGGUUACAGGCGUGGGCCACCAUGCCUGGCUUAAAGCCCUUUUAAGAGGACAGGCCAGGGUUUCCAGAUGAUCCUGGCCCCCACACCAGCAUAUCCUAGGGUCCGCACCUGGUCAGCGGGAAUAACGGGCAGUUGUGGGCUGGACUGCCAGCCCCCAGCAGGGCGGAGUGGGCCAAGGAGCCUCUGCUUCGGUUUGGGGUGUGUGGUCAGUGUCUGCCUACCUUCAGCUUUUGAAGGCAGAGGAGGGGGUCAGGAUGGGCAGAGCUGACGUCCAGGCUCCCUGAUCCUGCUGCUGUCUGUGUAGACCUCUCAACUCAAGGCCCCACACCCCUCAGGACCCGCCUGCUCCUCCCUCUGGGUUGAGGUGGAGCAGGGGUGGGAAUGGGUCAAUGAGGGGAGCUGUGGAAUCUUCCCCACAGCAGCCUGGCAUCCUAGAAAGGCCAGGGAGUGAGGAGGCAGGACCCCCAGGGACACAGGCACCCACAUCCGCCGCAUGCUCACCUCUGCCUCCUCCCGCAGACCUCCAACCCAGCCCCGCCAUUCACGGCAUCUUGUUUUCUCUGCGUUGAGGAAGGCACAGCUUUUGCCAUCUUGUUACCCACUAUCCAUUUACUUGCCAACAGCCUUUUCAGAAACUUAACUGCCACAAAUUCUGCAUCUCUGGGAUUCCUGCUAGGGAUGCUGUGCUGCGUCACCCGAGAGGUGUGAUUUUAAUACCAUCCCAAUAGUAGCCAGGGAGGCAGAUCUCAGUGGGCUGCACUGUCAAUCAAACCAUGCUCACAUCACAAACCAUGAGCCAGCUUAAAACGGAGCCUUGUGUGCACAUGGGGCGGAGUAUAGAUCUGUUGCAAACUCAUUUAGCAGCAAAAAUGUGAUCUGAACUGACAUGAAGUCCUUGGUAUUUAUUUAUCCUGCUCAGUAUGAUAAGUAAACAUUUUCUUCAAGGGAGAAAAAGAAAAAUGUGAGCUGGGAUGCCAGCCAUUGAUAUAGGGAAGGCCCGUAACCUCCUGAUGAGUGAAAUGGGCCAGUUAGAAAAUACACCGAAUUUUAUUUUUUAAAAUUAAUAAUAGAUAUAUAGAUACAUAGACACAGAAAGCAUGGAUAGAUGAUAGAUAGAUAGAUACAUACAUACACAAAUAGAUACAUAGAUACGAUGGAUAAAUAGAAAGAUAGGUAGAGGCUGGAUGAGGGCUCAUACCUGUAAUCCCAACCCUGUGGGAGACUAAGGCAGGAGGAUCACUUUAGUCCGGGAGUUCAAGACCAUCCUGGGCGACAUGGUGAAACCUCAUCUCUACAAAAAAUACGAAAAUCAGCCAGGUGUGGUGGUGUACCCUUUUAGUUCCUGCUACUCAGGAGGCUGAAGUGGGAGGAUCAUUUGAGCCUGGGAGGUGAAGGUUGCAGUGACCUGUGAUUGUUCCACUGCACUGCAGCCUGAGUGACAGAGCAAGACUGUGUCUCAAAAAGAAAAAAAAAAACGAAAGAAAGAAAUGAGGAUAGGCGCAUCUCUCCAGCCCGCUCGAACGCUCCCCACAGCCACUGCCACCCACUGGAAUGGCCAACAGGGGACCUGCAUAUGGCCUGAGCCGGGAGGUGCAGCAGAACAUUGAAAAGCAACACGACGCAGACCUGGAGCAGAUCCUGAUCCAGUGGAUCACCACCCAGUGCCCAAAGGAUGUGGGCCGGCCCCAGCCUGGGUGGGAGAACUUCCAGAACUGGCUCAAGGAUGGCACGGUGCUAUGUGAGCUCAUUAAUGCACUGCACCCGAGGGGCAGGCCCCUGUAAAGAAGAUCCAGGCCUCCACCAUGGCCUUCAAGCAGACGGAGCAGAGGUCUCAGUUCCUGCAGGCAGCUGAGGGCUGUGGCAUUAGCACCGCCGACAUCUUCCAAACCGUGGACCUCUGGGAAGGAAAGAACAUGGCCUGUGUGCAGCAGACACUGAUGAAUCUGGGUGGCUGGCGGUAGCCCAGGAUGAUGGGCUCUUCUCUGGGGAUCCCAAUUGGUUCCCUAAGAAAUCCAAGGAGAAUCCUCGGAACUUCUCGGACAACCAGCUGCAAGAGGGCAGGAACGUGAUCAGGUUACAGAUGGGCACCAACCGCAUGACAGGCUACAGGAUGCCAGGCCAGAUCCUCUGACCUCACCCCAGGCCUUGCCCCUGCCCUCCCAUGAAUGGUUAAUAUAUAUGUAGAUAUAUAUUUUAGCAGUGACAUUCCCAGAGAGCCCCAGAGCUCUCGAGCUCCCUUCCGUUAGGGAGGGAGUUCAGCCUCUCCUGUCACCUCUGGGGUGCCUGUUGGCAGCCCCUCCCCCCAGCUAAUACAUUCCCUACCCCAUACCCAUCAAAACUGGACCAACUGGGCUCUUCUUUUCCCCUGGGACCAAAAUGAAGGGGCCUCAGCACCCCCACCACUAUGCCUCUCCUUCCUCCUGGCCUGCUCUGUCCCUGAGCUCUGUGCCCUCCAUCCAUCCAUGGCUGGGCAUCAGUGAUGCUGCCUCUGCUUUCUGAUGCUGGACUUGCCUUGCUUCUACAAGCUGCUUCUCCCACAGCUGUGGCUGAGGGAACUUAAUUUAUAGGGAGGAGCCUGUGGCAGCUGCUGCCCCAGCCACAGCUGCACUGACUGUGCUCACCACACAUCUGGGGCAGCCUUCCCUGGCAGAGGCCCUCACGGCUUCUCAUUUUCCAUUCCCCUCACUGUGGCUAAGGGGUGGGGUGAGGGGAUGGAGAGGGAGGGCUGUCUACCAUGCUCUGGGGCUUUAGGAAGAUGAGUUUGUUGAUUUAAAUAAAGAAUUUGUCUUUUUU